rnacentral:rRNA from 13 species
AUUGAGUUUGAUCCUGGCUCAGAAUGAACGCUAGUAGCAUGCUUAACACAUGCGAGUCGAAUGUUUCCUCGAAACAUGGCGAACGGGUGAGUAAUAUAUAAGAAGUUACCUUUUGGUUCGGGUUAAAAAACCGAAUAUAAAAAAAGAAUAAGUUCGCCAUUAGAUACGCUUAUACAAGAUUAGGUAGUUGGUUAGGUAAAAGCUAACCAAGCCGACGAUCUUUAGUUGAUUUGAAAGAAUGAUCAACCACACUGGGACUGAGACAAGGCCCUGGCUUUUUUUAGAGCCAGCAGUGAGGAAUAUUGGACAAUGAGCGAAAGCUUGAUCCAGUGAUGCUACGUGAGGGAAUACAGCUUAUUGGCUUUAAACCUCUUCUAUUAAGGAAUAUAAUGACUUACUUAAUAAAAAAGUCCCGGCUAACUUCGUGCCAGCAGCCGCGGUAAUACGUAGGUGGCAAGCGUUGUCCGGAAUUAUUGGGCGUAAAGGGCUCGCAGGCGGUUUCUUAAGUCUGAUGUGAAAGCCCCCGGCUCAACCGGGGAGGGUCAUUGGAAACUGGGGAACUUGAGUGCAGAAGAGGAGAGUGGAAUUCCACGUGUAGCGGUGAAAUGCGUAGAGAUGUGGAGGAACACCAGUGGCGAAGGCGACUCUCUGGUCUGUAACUGACGCUGAGGAGCGAAAGCGUGGGGAGCAAACAGG